AUGGUGAUGCAACAUUUCCGCAAUAGGCUCAGAGAUGAGGAUCCAGAGAAAUAUUAUACUCGGUCAUCCUUUUGUAUCAACUGUAAAUGGAUACAUGAUCAGCACACAAGAGACUCUGAAAUACACGAGCAUGAUGAUGAUUGUGACAGAGGAAGUGGAGGAAGAGAGCACAAAGAUGUCUGGCUUACAUCAAGGCUAUUAUCUGGCUGCUUAGCAACAGCUUGCAUCCAUCCUCUCUUUAUUGAUGGCCUGGAGAUUUUUUAUGAGGGGAAUCAAAAGGUUGCCGCAAUUUCUGAAAUUUCUUCCCCAAGUGAGCUGCAACUCAUACAGCUAGACAAUGUGGAAGUAUAA
rnacentral:rRNA from 1 species